GAGGGCCCUUCUUUUUGGAGCUCCCAUAACCUCUUGUCUUUCUCAGGGGGACAAAACAGUUCUCACAUUUCAGAAUUUGAUUUAAACAACCAACACUCACAUCAUCAUUUUGCUGAUUAAAAAAAAUUCUAUUCCUAACUGGAGUCUUAUUUUCUAAAAAUAGCAUUACAACACCAGGGUGAUCGAGAUUGUGAAAACCCUCACGUGGGGUCUCUGGCAGCGGUGGAGAUGAGAGAGUGAGUGACAGAGCAUGCUGAGUCCGCAGCUGCCACUGCAGCUGCCUCCCCUCUGCAAGCCAAAAGCGACUGGGACAGGCACGGCCCUUCUGGACCAGAAGUGAUGAAUCAGAUUUUUGUGAGGAGGCAGAAAAUCAAGUGGAAAGUAGUUCCAGCCAGAAGGGUAUUCUGUUGUAUUUUGGUCCCAGUGGCAGGAGGUCUAUGGCUUCCAGAUUGAACAAGUCUCGUGCUGAAGGAGACAGCAGCUCCAGUCUCUGGGCAGAGACACACCGUGGAGGAAGGACAGCUGUGCCGGCCCAAGUAACAGUAAACUGGACUUCUACACUGGAAUAUCUGAACCACCUAGAUGGAGAAAUCUCUUGGGCCUGUAUCUUCUGAAGAAAGCAGUGAUCCAUGGGUGUGAUCAUUUCAGAGCUGUCGCUUCUUGGGAAACUGCAAGGCCGUGCAUUUGGCCAUUUGAUAGAACCCUGUUUCUGCCUGAUGAGUCGGGGGUUUUGUUCAACCUUUGAGAUGGCUCCUAUUUUCCUUGAACACUCCUCUAGGAUGGCAUCUCCAUAGCCUUGGGUUUUCUGGUACAGAUUAGUUUGACCUUUAGCCAUCACAGGCUCACAAAUUACUCAAAAUCACAAGGUCUAUGAUGAAGCUGUGACAAUAAUUCAAAGGAUUUGUUUUUCUACCCUGGCUCUAUCCAUCUGAUUACAUUGUAAGCAACAUUUGCUGCCAUCUCUGUGGACAGAAAUUGUUCAUAAACUACAAAGAAAUUGCAUGGCCAUGGAAGAAAUCAACUUGUUAAAUGGGCCAUGUUUUUCCCCCCUAAGGAACAGAGAACCUGUAAAAUACUCUGUUGUGCUGAAAAAAAAAAAAAGAAAGAAAAGAGAAGAAGAAAGCAGGGGAGACCUCUGAACACUGAAGAAACACUAUUAGAAACUGUAAGGUUUCAAAGCAUUAAUGUGACAUUCUGUCUUGCAGAGGGCUUGUUUUAAUAGCGUGCACUAUGGUGUAAUGCUCUUUCUCCCACUUGGGACACUUUUCAAGGACCUAUCAAUUAAUAA